rnacentral:lncRNA from 1 species
AUUUCAUUUAGCGUUUACCUUAUCCCCCGAGACCGCCCAACGGGGCAGAGAGCCACCAGCUUUGAAGGCAGACUCAGUGAGACCUCCCUGAGCUCACACUGGCUCCGAGAAGUGCUAGCUGGGGAAUUUGAACAAGUUACUUAAUUUCUUGAGCCUCUGUUUCCUCUUCCGAAAAAUGGGGACAAUACCUUCCAUAUAAGGUUGUGUUUUUAAAAUUCUGGUAAAAUACACGUGACAAAAUUUACCAUCUUACCCAUUUUUAAGUGUACAGUUCAAAGGCAUUAAACACACAGGGUUGUUUUUGAGGAUUAAAUGAAAUAACCUGUGUAAAGCCUCUAGCACAUAAACUCGCGCACAGCGCAUGCUCAAUGAAUGUAAGUUGUCUUCUCUCAUAACUUCUCCCACUUCACACGGCCCGCAGCACGGUGAGGCUGAGUCGGAACGCCUCGGUCGGCUUGGAUAUGUGGUCCUUGGGGAAAUGAGGAAGCUCAACAACAAACUGGAAAAUGGAGGCAGGAAUAACGGCUAUUUCUCCCAUGUAGAAGGAGAGCAGUGUGGCUUGGAGUCUGGCACAUCUGGUUGGCACUCGGAUAGUUACAUACUGGAUGGGAAAAUGACUGACUCCCCCUGAGACUCGACUUCCAAGGUUUAAAUCAGAUACCAGAGGACAGCUUCUAGCACAGCUAGAAGGAUGCGUGGGUAUGUAAUCAGCACCUCACUAGACAUCACUAACGAAUCUCCCUGCUCUCCGUCCUCUCUCCUCGCCUCUUUGCCUCCUCAGUGUUUUCCAUCCUUCAUGAGCCAGCUGAGGUUUGACCCAUAGUUGAGAAGACCUUCUGGGCCCUUUCUACCUCUUCCCACUGAAAUAUCACCCCCCAUCCUGGCGUGUGUGCAUAUGGCACUCAACACUUCCCUGUAUUUUAAUUGUCUGUUUAAUUCCCUGUAUUCCCUGCGAAACUAUGAAGGCCUUAAAAGCCAGGGCUCUGUCUUUCAAACACUCAAUAAAUAUUUGAAAGAUUGAAGGUGAUCA